GGGGAUGUAGCUCAUCUGGUAGAGCGCGUGCUUAGCAUCCGGCUGAUGAGCGACCUCAUCAGCCCCCGACAUGUUCAUGCACGAGGUACUGGGUUCGACUCCCAGCUUCUCCA